rnacentral:rRNA from 1 species
CCUACGGGUCGCACCAGUGGGGAAUAUUGCACAAUGGGCGCAAGCCUGAUGCAGCCAUGCCGCGUGUAUGAAGAAGGCCUUCGGGUUGUAAAGUACUUUCAGCGGGGAGGAAGGUGUUGUGGUUAAUAACCACAGCAAUUGACGUUACCCGCAGAAGAAGCACCGGCUAACUCCGUGCCAGCAGCCGCGGUAAUACGGAGGGUGCAAGCGUUAAUCGGAAUUACUGGGCGUAAAGCGCACGCAGGCGGUCUGUCAAGUCGGAUGUGAAAUCCCCGGGCUCAAUCUGGGAACUGCAUUCGAAACUGGCAAGCUAGAUUCUUGUAGAGGGGGGUAGAAUUCCAGGUGUAGCGGUGAAAUGCGUAGAGAUCUGGAGGAUUACCGGUGGCGAAGGCGGCCCCCUGGACAAAGACUGACGCUCUGGUGCGAAAGCGUGGGGAGCAAACAGGAUUAGAUACCCGCGUAGUC